rnacentral:rRNA from 1 species
ACGGAAGGCAGCAGUGGGGAAUAUUGGGCAAUGGGCGCAAGCCUGACCCAGCAACGCCGCGUGAAGGAUGAAGGUCUUCGGAUUGUAAACUUCUUUAAUCGGGGAAGAAAAAAAUGACCUACCCGAAGAAUAAGCCACGGCUAACUACGUGCCAGCAGCCGCGGUAAUACGUAGGUGGCAAGCGUUAUCCGGAUUUACUGGGUGUAAAGGGCGUGUAGGCGGCUCUGCAAGUCAGAAGUGAAAUUCCCGGGCUCAACCUGGGCGCUGCUUCUGAAACUGUAGAACUUGAGUACUGGAGGGGAAAGCGGAAUUCCUAGUGUAGCGGUAAAAUGCGCAGAUAUUAGGAGGAACACCAGUGGCGAAGGAGGCCUGCUGGGCUCUAACUGACGCUGAGGCUAGAAAGUGUGGGGAGCAAACAGGAUUAGAGACCUGGUA